rnacentral:misc_RNA from 1 species
ACCAAUAAACACAGAGCAAACACAACUCAAGACACAAUGUUAAAGCAGUUCAGCGUAACAAAAGCCAGAAACACACCCAACAGUAGGUGGACCAAGAUAAAUCACCUCCAUAAAGGCACCCUAUGGCAAAACAACUAACUGGGAUGCAGUAUACACCCAAGACGACACCGGUGAGAGCAAUCAGAGCGGCAGAGGAUGUCAGACACGCCUCCACACGCAGGCGAGUGGGAUGGCGGCAGAAGCUUGUACCGGCACGUGAGCCUCACUCACCAGUUUUCUGGUGAUCGGAUUUUCUGGGUAAGGUCGCCGACAAGGGAUCUUCCUUCCUAGGUGGGCAGUGAGACUUAAAUUUCACCUUGAGAUGGUGACCUAACUCCACAAUGACGCUUCU